GAUGCAAAAAAAUCACGGCUUCGAGCAGUUUCAGGCCGGUGCCAAUUUUCCGAGGUCAUUUCCCCAAUUCCCCUGUACACGGCUUCGAGCAGUUUCGAGUCCUUACAGAAAAAUCAUCGCUUUGGCCGUUUUCGAGAGAUGCUAUUUUGUGUUUCAACUGGUUGCAACUGUGGACUUCACUACAUCAUUCGCAACACAGAAGCAGAUGGAAGUUGGGGUCAAGCCCUUGGAGUGGCUUUAUGUCCUGAUUUGGAUGGCGGCUAUAAUAGGCUACUGUCAUGUUGAAUUGAUAUGGCGUGGUAUAUUAUGUUUAUUUUUGGAGCUUGCAAUCAUAGUUACGACACUAAUAAAUAUUGGUUGUGUGGCCGAAGACAAUAUAUCUCCCAUUUUCUAAAAAACAGAACUUCCAUA